GACGUAGGGCGCGAGCGUUGUCCGGAUUUAUUGGGCGUAAAGAGCUCGUAGGCGGCUUGUCGCGUCGACUGUGAAAACCCGCAGCUCAACUGCGGGCCUGCAGCCGAUACGGGCAGGCUAGAGUUCGGUAGGGGAGACUGGAAUUCCUGGUGUAGCGGUGAAAUGCGCAGAUAUCAGGAGGAACACCGGUGGCGAAAGCGACUCUCUGGACGGCAACUGACGCUGAGGCACGAAAGCGUGGGGAGCAAACAGG
rnacentral:rRNA from 1 species